AAAAGUCGUAACAAGGUAACCGUAGGUGAACCUGCGGUUGGAUCAUUAACAAAAAAAACUUCUUUUAAAGUUCUUUUUUUUAAAAAAGACUUUAAAACAUUUUGUGAACCUUUAUAAACAUUUUAAACAAAAUAAUUCAAAAUUUGGCCUUUAAAAAACAAAAAACAUUUUUGUUUUUAAAAUUUAAAUUUAUUUAAAAAACAACUUUUGACAACGGAUCUCUUGGCUCUC
rnacentral:misc_RNA from 1 species